rnacentral:rRNA from 1 species
UAACACAUGCAAGUUGAAGGAGAAGGGGUGACUUUGGUUACCCUGGAGACUGGCGCACGGGUGAGUAACGCGUAGACAACCUGCCUAUAUCUGGGGGAUAACCAUCCGAAAGGGGGGCUAAUACCGCAUAAUGCAGCGGGGCCGCAUGGCCACAGUUGUUAAAGGUUUCGGCCGGAUAUAGAUGGGUCUGCGUGCUAUUAGUUAGUUGGUAAGGUAACGGCUUACCAAGGCGAUGAUAGCUAGGGGGUCUGAGAGGAUGAUCCCCCACACUGGGACUGAGACACGGCCCAGACUCCUACGGGAGGCAGCAGUGAGGAAUCUUGCGCAAUGGUCGCCCGCCGCGCCCCGCGCCC